CCUACGGGUGGCUGCAGUGAGGAAUAUUGGUCAAUGGGCGAGAGCCUGAACCAGCCAAGUCGCGUGAAGGAUGACGGCCCUACGGGUUGUAAACUUCUUUUGUCAGGGAGCAAUUGAGUCCACGUGUGGGCUUAGCGAGAGUACCUGAAGAAAAAGCAUCGGCUAACUCCGUGCCAGCAGCCGCGGUAAUACGGAGGAUGCGAGCGUUAUCCGGAUUUAUUGGGUUUAAAGGGAGCGUAGACGGUGAUGCAAGUCUGGAGUGAAAGGCGGGGGCCCAACCCCCGGACUGCUCUGGAAACUGUGUAACUUGAGUGCAGGAGAGGUAAGCGGAAUUCCUAGUGUAGCGGUGAAAUGCAUAGAUAUUAGGAGGAACACCAGUGGCGAAGGCGGCUUACUGGACUGUAACUGACGUUGAGGCUCGAAAGCGUGGGGAGCAAACAGGAUUAGAUACCCUGGUAGUC
rnacentral:rRNA from 1 species